UGUCCUUUUAUGGCCUGUCCCCAUUUCAGUGAUUCCCCUGCAAGCUGAAGCAUGCAGCAGUUAGACCAGUUUUUCCAUUCUUAAUGCCCAAGGCCCUUUCCUAGGCUUUCAUAAUGCAAGACACAAGGACAGAUGAUUAUUACUGACCUCAUGAUCCGCCUGUCUUGGCCUCCCAAAGUUCUGGGAUUUACAGCCAUAAGCCACUGCGCCAGCCCAGUAUUAACCAUUUUUAAGUGUACAAUUUAGUGUCAUUAAGUACAUUCAUCAUGUUGACUACUGUCGCUACCCAUUUCCAGAAUUUUUUCAAAAUCACUCCAAACCGAAAAUUUGUACCCACAAUACCCCUCUUCCCACAACCCUGGUAACCUCUAAUGUUCUGUCUCUAUGACAUAAUUUGCCUAUUCUAGGUAACUAACUCAUAUAAGUGGAAUUAUACAAUAUUUGUCCUUUUAAGUUUGGCUUAUUUCCAUUAACAUGUUUUCAAGGUUCAUCAUUAUAGCACGUAUCAGAAUUUCAUUCCUUCUAUGGCUGAAUAAUAUCCCACUGCACGACCUCACCACGUUUUGAUCAUCCAUUCGUCUGCUGAUGGGUCCUUGUGUUGUUUCUGUCUAUCUCUGUCAGCUCGGGCUGCUGCAACAAAAUACCGUAGCCUGAGUGGUUUAAACAACACACAUUCAUUUCUCACAGUUCU
rnacentral:lncRNA from 1 species